rnacentral:ncRNA from 1 species
UGGCUCAUACCCUAGUACAAGAACAAUUACAGUUGGGGCAUAUUAAGUCUUCUACUUCCCCAUGGAAUACACCCAUAUUUGUUAUCAAGAAAAAAUCUGGGAGGUGGUGGUUGCUACAUGAUCUCCGGGCUAUUAAUGCUCAAAUGCAGCUCAUGGGACCUAUUCAGAGAGGUUUGCCUUUGCUUUCAACAAUUCCAACAAAUUGGCCAGUGAUUUGUAUAGAUAUUAAAGAUUGUUUCUUUUCUAUUCCAUUACAUUCUCAGGAUACUGAACGCUUUGCUUUUAC